AACGAACGCUGGCGGCAGGCUUAACACAUGCAAGUCGAACGCAUCGCAAGAUGAGUGGCAGACGGGUGAGUAACGCGUGGGAACAUACCCUUUUCUACGGAAUAGCUCUGGGAAACUGGAAUUAAUACCGUAUACGCCCUACGGGGGAAAGAUUUAUCGGGGAAGGAUUGGCCCGCGUUGGAUUAGCUAGUUGGUGGGGUAAAGGCCUACCAAGGCGACGAUCCAUAGCUGGUCUGAGAGGAUGAUCAGCCACAUUGGGACUGAGACACGGCCCAAACUCCUACGGGAGGCAGCAGUGGGGAAUAUUGGACAAUGGGCGCAAGCCUGAUCCAGCCAUGCCGCGUGAGUGAUGAAGGCCUUAGGGUUGUAAAGCUCUUUCACCGAUGAAGAUAAUGACGGUAGUCGGAGAAGAAGCCCCGGCUAACUUCGUGCCAGCAGCCGCCGCCG
rnacentral:rRNA from 1 species